CGAACAUCUAUCGCCAAACGAUGAGCUCCCGUACCGAUUACUUUUUUGUUGGGGUAACGCCCCAUCACCCCUACGAUCCGUAAUUGGUUUGAGAGGAUCAUCACCCCCACUGGGACUGAGACACGGUCCACACUCCUACGGGAGACACCAGUGCGGAAUCUCUUCCAAUGGGCGCAAGCCUGAUCUAGCCAUGCCGCGCGGGAGAUUAAGGCCUUCCGGCCGUAAAGCUCUUUUAGCCGGUAUGAUAAUGACGGUACUCGUCCAAUAAACCCCGGCUAACUCCGUGCCACCAGCCGCGGUAAUACUGAGGGGGUUAGCGUUGUUCGGAAUUACUGGGCGUAAAGUGCGCGUAAGCGGAUUUUUACUAGGAGGUGAAAUCCCGGAGCUCGACUUCGGAAUUGCCUUCAAAACUGCAAGUCUAAAAUUAAAGAGAGGUGAGUGGAAUUCCCA
rnacentral:rRNA from 1 species